rnacentral:lncRNA from 1 species
AUUGGCCUCGGCUGGAUUAGUAGAUCAAGGGCGCCACCUCGCGUUGACAAGCUUCCCUGUAAUUCUUCAGCUUCAAGGGAAUCAAAAGGUCUUACCUCCUUGACUCCUUGUUUUAGAGAUUUAGUACUCAUUUCUUUGGCUCCAGAUGGAACAAAUUUGAAUAUAUAUGUAAGAAAUAUUCUGAGCCUCAGGCCUAGGAAGGAGGCCAACAGCAGCUCUGCAGCCGGAAUACCGCCCCUUCCACAACCCAUCGCAGGAACUCUGGAUUACACCCUGCUGCGUGUGUGUGGAGGGUUCGGUGAAGAUGCGGCGUCUCGCUUCCUCUCUACGAAUUCCGGAGUUUCGAAGCGGAGACGAAGGCUGUCCCGGACUGCUAAGCCCCAGACCUGGUGGGUUCAGAGGCGCCCUUCCGGAUUUGCGGACCUCUACGGGAGAGACGCUAGGGGCUUCCUGAUUUAUGCGCAUUCCUUUAAAGUUGAUCGAAUGCGUGUCAGCAGCCCAAGACCUGGAGAAUCAGAGAAAUGUGCAGCGAGUAGCUCCCAUCCCAUUUUUCAUAAGCAAUGAUGUAGCGUUAUCCAAGCGGUCUGGGGAGAUUUAUGCCCAGGUUUUAGGACCCGCACACAAUAAUUAAGUUUUCAACUGCUAGGCCGCCGGGUAGAUAACAGCCGGCCUCAUUCUUUAUGAAAACACCCACUUUCUGAUCGGCUGCUUCAACCCUCGCGCCUCUACCUAGCGCCGCCGAAUGCCUGCGAGGUGUUUGCUAUUUUUAAUUUGAUUUUAAAGGGAAGAAAAGAGACGCGGGCGCAGGAAAAUCCCUCCACGAAAGCAG